rnacentral:lncRNA from 1 species
CCUUAGUCUUUUUCCCAAAAUCGGUUCCCCCACAGAAAUCCCAAAAUUUCACCUAAAAUCUCUUGUUUUUUUUCCCCUUUCUUUUUCCCAAAAUCGGUUCCCCCCUCGAAAUCUCAAAAUACCUGAAAUCUCUUCUUCUAUUUUUUCCCCAUUUUAUUUUUCCCUAACCAUUUCUCCCCUACCCCGAUUCCUUUUAUUUUUGCCCCCAAUUUCCCCAAAUCGGUAGCCCUCUGCAUCUUCGUCGGCAACCCAUUGCUGCAUCUCCGUCGGUAGCCCUCUGCUGCUUCUCCUUGUAAGUUUAUUAAGUGUAAUAAAUUACUAUUAUUUUAGUUAUAUUUAAUUAUUUGCCCUAAUCUGAUUCGUUCCCCCUUUGUUCUUUAAAUUUAUUUAAAACGCUAUUCAUCACUUGGAUUUGAUUUCGAUUGCUCCGAUCUACAAAUUUUUUUUUCAUUUUUUCUUAUCAUCUUCUUUUAUAAAAGGCAAUAUAUGAAGUUCUUGGAUUUUGUUACCAUUUUUUUUUUGUUAGUUUACAGUUGAAAUUAACCUUCUUCUUUUUUUUAGAAUUACCUUCCAUCGUUCAUUUCCCACUUUGUAUUGUAUAUUAAGACCCGUUGUACAUUCUUUUAUCAUUGGACGUGUCAGUUUGCACCAUUUGGUAAUUUCUUUUUCUUUUUUUUUCUUUUGACAUUUCUAGUAACUUUGGUGGUAAAAUUAUUAGACGUUUGAUUUUACUUCUUUCUAUUAGAUAUACGAGAUAUUGGAUAAUGCUGUUGAUGAGGCUUAAGUAAGUUUUGCAGCCCAUAGGAGUAAGUUUUGAGGGGAAGACUGAUGUUAUGAAAAAGAUUAAGUUUCCACAGAUGGAGAAAAAAUCUGCGAUUAAAUUGUUCAAAGACAAGCAAAGAGGCAGCACUAGCUUGUUCCAUAAGAGCAAUUUUGGAAAAUGAAAAGUUCAGUCUCUAAUAUUUUAGCUUUAUAGGUUCUAUUAUAUGUUUGCGCCUAUGAGCAUAUAAACUUAUGAUAGUUUUGCAAAUGGUGCUAAAAGGUGGUGGAUCUGUAUCCUAAUGCUACUUUAUUGAUGGUGUCUAUUAUUAGUUGCGUAUUUUGAUUAGUCUUGUUCUAUGCAAUUGUGUGGGGUUGGUGCCAGACUACAUUGUUCUGAUAUGUAAGGAAGAUGAUAAAUAUUGAUGGGUGGAGAUUGGACUGAUAAUUGUACCCUUUCUCUGAUCUAUUGCAUACCUUUUUACAUGAAAGUUCACUUGCACGAGUACAUACUGAUAUAACAUGCAAUUUCAGGAGAAAGCGUUAGCUGCGGCUGAGAGUAGACCUUUGCCUUCCUUGUAUAGCAGUGCUGACAUUCGUUCCCUGAAAAUGGAUGAUUUUAAAUAUGCACAUGAGCAGGUAACAUGGUCAUAAAUCAUUUAUAUAUUUAGAUGCUAUUGAAUAAAAAAAUCUAGCAAUUUGGAGUGCUAUAUACUAUAAAUUAUGAUGUCUGAAUGGUAAAUAGAUCAAGUUCAAAUGCCGAAAUUUAUUAAGUUUGAAAGUUGGAAACUUAAAGAGUUACAUGUUGUAAACCAUGUUAUCUGACUGCUAAAACUUUAGGCAUUUAAAUGCUGCAAAUUAUCAUGUUUGAAGUUGGUAUUUGGAUAACUAAAUAUUUUUUUUUUUGGAUAAAUGAAUUUAGCUUGACAAACUUGAUCAACAGCUCGUUUGGAGCUUGGUAUUCUCCUAAAUACUUAUACCCUUCCUUUCAUUUGAAAUUAAUGUAUGUGCUAUUUAGGAUAAAAGAAAAACUGAAGAGAUUAAAUGUUGAGUUAAUUGUUGAUGACCAUUGUUAAGAAUGCUCAAUUUUAAGGAUGAAAUUGUUAAACUGAAUAUGCUUAAAUUUGUUGAGGAGAUGAACUGCUACUGGUUGAAAUAAUAGGGAAUUAUGAGAGGUUAAAUGCCAACUUUGGCCUCUUAAUUUCUCUGUUUAAAGAUGUUUUAAACUUGUUAAAAAUGCAACAAUUGCAUAUGUUAUUUAUUUAAUUAAAUAAAUGAUACUGAGUUCUUUACCUUUUCUUCCUUGGUUGUUUUUCUGCAUCUUUAUGCUGGUAUUAGUGAUGGAAUUAAGUGAAAUUUUAGUGAAAUUUGCAGCUGUCGAGGGAGCUACUGAAGCAUGCAGUUUGCGUGCAUGCUGUCUAAUUUCUUACCAAUUUAGGUGGUCUGAUCGAUGGUUGUUUAUUGUUGUCCAAAUAAGUAUUAAAGAAUAUCAUCCAAGUGAUCAAGAAAUUAAAAUGGUCUGAAAAAUGUGAAACUAAAUUGUUAAAUGUUAACUAUUGAUGUCCAAAUGGAUAUGAAUUUAUGAUGUUAGUAAGCUGAAAAUUUAGGUGUUAAAUGCUGCAAUUUAUGGUGUCUGAAAGUUGUGAUUUAUGAUAUUCGAAUGAUGUAUUUUAAGUUGUUCGAAUAUGUUAAAGAGUUGAUUUAAUAUAAUGACUAAUGGUUGUUUAUUGUUGUUCAAAGCAUGAUGAAAUAAACAUGUUAGGCGUGGUUUAAUACAUGCCUUGCUGAUCUGUAAGGUUGUCCAAAACAAGACAAAAUUUAGUUGUCUUUAAGAUGUUUGAAUGUGGUUGUUCGAAUGGUUCUUCAAAUUUUCCAAAUGUGUCUUUAAGGUGCUUGAAAAUGUCAUAUUAAUGUUGUCGAUAUAUGAUUUUGAGUGUUGGAAAUUUGCAGCAUUUAAUUUCCUAUUUGAAGUUGAUUGAACCAUACUAUAAAUGCAAAACAUGUAUAUGUUGUUCACAUGCUAAAUUAACCAUUAGUGAGCUUAAAAUUGAUCUAUUCGAAUGUGUUAAAUUCAUUGUUCAAUUUGAUGUUAUUUAAGCUAAUUUAUUAAUGUUAUAUGUGAUGUUAAUGUUGACUUGUUAAUUGCAUAUUUUAUUAUAAAUCUGAUUUGGGGUUUUGAAUUUAGAAGAACCUUAUCUUAGAUAAGUUAUCUAAUUUCAUAAUAAUUGGAAUCUGAUUCUGUUAUUUUGGUUGGUUCAUGUCUUCCUAUGUCAUCCAUUAAGAUUUGUUUCUUUUUUUCUCAGAACCGGUAUGUUAUUCAUUUGCCUUCUUAUGCUGGGCUAACAAGUUAUUCAAGCACUUAACUACAAUCCUGGUGAUUAUCAGAUAGCUGGAGGUCACCGAAGCAGCAGUUACACUCAUCAGACUAUCACAUGGAAUGGGAGCAAUUAUGCAAAUUAUACUACUCAGCAAUUAUACUACCAUUGUUGCAGGUUUGAGUUUUUGUUGGAUGCAUGGUCCAGAAUUAGCUGAAUUCAUGCAUGGUGACAACUUGUUUGAGCUAACUGUUGAUCUUAAAGUGUGCAUUCUAUUAUUAUUUUGUUCUAUUUGUAUUUUGUUAGAUUUAAGGUGUAUUAUGAUAAGUGUGAUAUUUUGUUUGAUUGUUAUUGAUCUUUUGUUUGAUUGUUAUUGAUCAACUUUCUGUUUGAUGGGAUAUAUAUUUAUAUUAUGGAUAUUCUUCUUCUUCUUAAUAUUUUGAUAAUGAAUUUUGGAUGCUUCCACCAGAUAAGAUUUCAUUGUUCCUAAGAUGAAGGGUUUUGGAACUUUAUAAAAUAUACUUCCUUUCUUUGAAAUGAAUUAGAGCAUGCUAUGCAUGACAUAUUGGGGUAAGUUUGUUCUUUUCAAUACUUUACUAGUGGAAUCCCACUUCCGUUGCAUUCUCUAACCAAAGAAUGGAGUGAUGUAUGUACUGAUAACAACAUUUCUAUAGGAUUUGCUUAAGCGGGUAGAGGGAUAAGAAUGGAUUUGUGGCGUUUUUAUAAUAUUUUAAUUUUUUUUAUUUUUCAUGACCUUUAGCGGAAUUUUUGAGAAAAGCGCCGCUAAAGAACAUGACCUUUAGCGGCGUUUGUGGGGAAAGCGCCACUAAAGGUCAUGUUCCAUAGCAGCCUUUUUCUAUAUAAACGUCGUAAAAUUUAUCAGCGUUAACUAUAACGGAGUUUUUUGCGGCUCUUGUCAAAACGCCAUAAAUUGCCGCUAUAGACCCAAAAAAAUGCCACUAAAAACCUAUUUUACUGUAGUGAUUGAACCUAAAAAUUUACUUCUCUUUAUCCCUACCUUUAGCCUAGCCAUGUUACAACCUAGUAAAAGACCUAUUGAUUUGAUGAUUAUACUGACUACAUUAGUGGAGAGGAAUUGCUAAGCUCAACAUAUGAAUACCACUAUUUAAACCUUGUGAUUUCUAUGUUUAGAUUGAUAAGGAAAGCUUAUUGAUUGGUGAAUGUUAUAUAAGAAUUUGAAAUGAAUGCAUACUCUGACUCAUAUUGACAAUAUUUUUUUUACUUAAUAUAAAGUUUGGGAAUAAUAUUUGCAUUGAGUUACUUAUUAGUAAAAAUAAUUUGUGAGCAUGAUUUUAUUGAUGCAUGAUUAUAUGCAAAGACUAAUGUUGCUAAACCAUAUUGCAAAAUUGCCUUAGCAAAAGUUGUGUUGUGCCUAAACAUUACUCGAGACAAUAAAUGGUUUAAGUUUGAGAGUGUUUAACCUUGAAAUUAUAUAGGAUUUUUUAUAUUUUUUUUAACAUCUUUUGACUAAAUAAUUAUAUUAAUAUUGAGUAAUUGUUAAUAAACUAAGUGGAUUUUGCUUAAAUGUUAAUAUGAGACAUGAAUUUAGAAAGUAUGUGAAAUUAUGCUUUAUUACAUGAUUUUUAAGCAUAAAUUAUAUUAUUUUCAUGUUUAUUAUUAAUAUGUGAUUUUUAUUAUGCAAUGGGUCCAUGGAAGAUGAGAUUACCAUAAGGAUGCAUGGACAUGGACACAUCCACCUUACUUGGAUGGUAAAACUAAGCAAAAUUAUAAGGAUGCUAAUUUGACCCAGUUAAAGUGUGUUACAAAAUGGACAUGUUUGAUUAAUUCGAGGUCCCUGUAGUUGAAAUUUAUUCAGAAAUUUACACACAAACUAUGCCUUUGGAACCAUCCACUCUAUGUUAAUUAUAACAUGAUUUUAUGUUUGAAAUACUAAACCAAACCACCUCCCUUUCCACAAUUUGUGCCCGACCAUGCAAUGGAGAAGAUGGAGGGAUUUUUAACUCUAUUUUUAGUUGGCUUCACCCUCACCUUCACCUAUAAAUACCACACUACUCAUCCCUUCAUUCAUAUCAUAUUUCUCAGUCUACAUUUUUUUUCUCUCAUUCUAUUUCCCUUUUCUUUUCCCCAUACCUAGCCACUCUAUUUUCCCUUCCAUUAUUUAGCCAAAAAAAGCCUUACAAGAUGAUCUCGUAGUUAGCCAGCUUGAGAAACCCUUAGUAAAGGAGCAAUGGACAGAUCAGAGAAACACCUCAGUCAAAAAGAUUUGAAAGGCUGCUAGAUUGAAUUAGAGUUUACUCUUUCCUCCUUGUUGUUUAAUUUAAACAUGUUUGCUAAGUGUUUAUUGAUCUUGCAAUCAACAAUGAUAGCUUAAUUUCGUUUAGUUAGGAAGAUUAUGUUAAUUCAAUAAUAUUUUUUUGAUUCAUGUUUAAUGUGUUUGUGCCUCAGUCAAUCAUGUUUUCAAUUAAAAUCAAGAUGUAUUUCACUCAUACGUGAUUGGAUGCAUUCAGACUAGCUGAGCGAUCCUAACCAGAUGACGGCUAGUAGACACAUAAUUGAAUAGAGCAAUGCUCAAUUUAGAUCACUAAAUCUGACUAAAUUAGAGGUUCAUAAUAUCUUUAAUUAGUUCUAUUAUCUUGCAUAGUUUUUAGGUUAAUGUGAUUAAACCGUUUCAAACUUAAUAGUCCAUGUUACCUCGCAUAAAUAUUAAGAAACCCUUAGUUUAAUAUGAUCAAUAAAAUGUAUGUUUCACUAAGUAAAAGAUCCGAAAUGACUUAAUUUGGUUUCUAAACUCAUGAAAGAUCGAGUUGCCAUGGAAUGUUUUUCGAACACUGUUAAGCAUGAUGAAAAUAAAUUAAGUUGAUUAAUGUAAUUAUCCUAGCCUAUACAUGUUAUUGAUUGUUGAAGUUGUGUUUUUGUUGCUAAAAUUCAUUCAUACAUUAGAUAAUUUUGCAUAUUUAGUUUAAAAUUGCAUUAGGGAUCAAUUUUUCAUCUAGUUAAGUCAUCAUCACUCAAAUUAUUGUGUUUUUUUACCAAAUUGUGAAUUUAUAAUUUUGCAAAUAAUCAAUUAACACACACAGUCCCUGUGGAGACGAUAACUCAUUUUACUUACUUAUUACUUGAAUGAUGAAUGACUGUGUACACUUUCACAAAAAUUCCAUUACAAUAGGAUCUUCCGAUUACAAUAACAUAAAAAACCUAAAUAGAAAUUAAGAGUGAAAUAAAAACCCCAAGUAUAUUUUCUAUCUCCAUAAAUUUGUGUUUAAACUAAUUACAAUGUCUUUUAUAUAGUUUAAAAUCAGAAUAUUAAAAUGCGUAAAAUAUUCUUGAAGUCCUUAGAGUUCGACUAGGACAUAUACUUCUAAUUUCCCUAAAAAACGUAAUUAAAACGUGCAGGAGUUUUUGGGCUGCACAGGGGCUUGGUUGCAACAUAGACCUACGAUGCUAUAACCAACCUCGAGAGUAUGUCGUGACAGAGGAGGGCUGUGUCAUGACAUCGAGGCCAGUUUCACUCCAGAACUUGUUUUUGGCUUCUAUCUUCGAUGUUGAGACAUUAGUGUCUUGGUGUUACGAUGUAGGCAUCAGUUUUGGCCCGAAUAAGCAUCUUUAGCUCCAGAUUUGACCUACAAGACCAUGUAACCUUAUUUAGAUAUAUAAAAUGUAAUUAAAAAAACUACUAGAAAGCAUAUAUUUCUACUUUAAGUAUGAAAACCUUAAUAUAUUCUAAGAUGCUUUCAUUUAACUAUCAAACAAGCUAAAGUUAUGUGUAAAAAGGAUGUAAAUAAUAAUGUAUUUCAUGGCAGAUUAGUUAUAUUAUAAGUAAUCUGGUUAGAAAUCAACUGGAUAGCCUAAUUUGAUAAUUGUGAAUGUAGGGUGCUCAUUUAUGUUUUUUCUCGGUAACUGUAGACUAUUAAGAAGGUAAAUUCUAACAUACGUGACACUUUUCAAGUUCCAUUAAAUGGGUUGGGUUGUAUAUAUAUAUGUGAAAUGGUUCUGAAAAGGGGUUUUCUUCUUCUCCUAGAAAAUUUUGUUCUUUGAUUCUUUUUCAUAUACAAAUGGUAAUUCCUUCUUUCUAAGCUGGAAGCUAAGGAUCUGGAACUAAUCAGUGGUUAUCACAUCCUUGGUUAAGUAUGAUAGUUCUGCAUGUUAGAUUCUAAAAGAGUAAAUCUGUAAUGAGUGUAUGAACAGUAAGAUGUAUGUAUAAGGCUUUGCAUGAAGGUUGUAAAUAUUUUAGAUGAUGGUAAAUUGUAUAUGUGUAAGUCCUUAAUAUUGUUUCUAUGUUCUGUUAGCAGUUGUUGCUACUAAAUCGUAUUAGAUGUUCAAGUAUGGAGUUUUGAAAUAUUGUAGUAGGUGAAAAUGAGGCGAGUCUUUAACUGACUCUUUUAUAUGAACUA